UGGGGAAUAUUGCGCAAUGGGGGAAACCCUGACGCAGCAAUACCGCGUGAAUGAAGAAGGUCUUCGGAUCGUAAAGUUCUGUUAUUGGGGAAGAAAAAGACGGUACCCAAGGAGAAAGUUCCGGCUAACUACGUGCCAGCAGCCGCGGUAAUACGUAGGGAACAAGCGUUGUCCGGAUUUACUGGGCGUAAAGGGCACGCAGGCGGUUUUUUAAGUCAGAUGUGAAAGGUACCGGCUCAACCGGUGACAUGCAUUUGAAACUGAAAGACUUGAGUAUUGGAGAGGCAAGUGGAAUUCCUAGUGUAGCGGUGAAAUGCGUAGAGAUUAGGAGGAACACCAGUGGCGAAGGCGGCUUGCUGGACAAAUACUGACGCUGAGGUGCGAAAGCGUGGGGAGCAAACA
rnacentral:rRNA from 1 species